GGGGUACGCUGGCGGCGUGCUUACACAUGCAAGUCGAGCGGAGACAUCUUGAAAGCUUGCUUUUAAGAUAUCUUAGCGGCGGACGGGUGAGUAACGUGCGGGCAACCUGCCUCAUACAGAGGGAUAAUCAUGUGAAAACGUGACUAAUACCGCAUGUCAUUUCUGAAAGGCAUCUUUUAGAAAGAAAAGGAGCAAUCCGGUAUGAGAUGGGCCCGCAUCUGAUUAGCUAGUUGGUGAGAUAACAGCCCACCAAGGCAACGAUCAGUAGCCGACCUGAGAGGGUGAUCGGCCACAUUGGGACUGAGACACGGCCCAAACUCCUACGGGAGGCAGCAGUGGGGAAUAUUGCACAAUGGGGGAAACCCUGAUGCAGCAACGCCGCGUGAAGGAAGACGGUUUUCGGAUUGUAAACUUCUAUCAAUAGGGACGAAAUAAAUGACGGUACCUAAAUAAGAAGCCCCGGCUAACUACGUGCCAGCAGCCGCGGUAAUACGUAGGGGGCAAGCGUUAUCCGGAAUUACUGGGUGUAAAGGGUGAGUAGGCGGCAUGAUAAGUAAGAUGUGAAAGCCCGCGGCUUAACUGCGGGAUUGCAUUUUAAACUAUUGAGCUAGAGUACAGGAGAGGAAAGCGGAACUCCCAGUGUAGCGGUGAAAUGCGUAGAUAUUGGGAAGAACACCAGUGGCGAAGGCGGCUUUCUGGACUGAAACUGACGCUGAGGCACGAAAGCGUGGGUAGCGAACAGGAUUAGAUACCCUGGUAGUCCACGCCGU
rnacentral:rRNA from 1 species